rnacentral:rRNA from 1 species
CCUACGGGGGGCAGCAGUGAGGAAUAUUGGUCAAUGGACGAGAGUCUGAACCAGCCAAGUAGCGUGAAGGAUGACUGCCCUAUGGGUUGUAAACUUCUUUUAUAUGGGAAUAAAAUGUUCCACGUGUGGGAUUUUGUAUGUACCAUAUGAAUAAGGAUCGGCUAACUCCGUGCCAGCAGCCGCGGUAAUACGGAGGAUCCGAGCGUUAUCCGGAUUUAUUGGGUUUAAAGGGAGCGUAGGUGGAUUGUUAAGUCAGUUGUGAAAGUUUGCGGCUCAACCGUAAAAUUGCAGUUGAAACUGGCAGUCUUGAGUACAGUAGAGGUGGGCGGAAUUCGUGGUGUAGCGGUGAAAUGCUUAGAUAUCACGAAGAACUCCGAUUGCGAAGGCAGUUCACUGGACUGCAACUGAUACUGAGGCUCGAAAGUGUGGGUAUCAAACAGGAUUAGAUACCCGAGUAGUC